rnacentral:lncRNA from 1 species
AUGGAAGCAUCAGUGGUCUUUUCUCCUGAAUCUUUUGUACCACGAUCAGUCAUGACAAAUUUGACUGUUCACCUUAUGGGGCAGGCUAUAAAUCUACUGGAGGUUGGUGUACGGUUAGAGAAUGCUGAAGCUCUCGUGCAGAAGAUUUUUGGGCAGAAGUUUGAUACUUUUGGUGACAAUUUUUUUGCAAACACCAGUGAAAGAAACCACAAGUCAGGACGCCCCGUGCAAACAACAGGAAAAGUCAAGCAGAGGAAGCUGACUUUUAAGCAAUAUAGCCCUGCUGAUCAUCUUGUAACUACGGCUGGCAAGCCAAAGUUGAGAAGAGCUAACCAGAAUUGUCCACGUCAAAAGUAUAGCAAGAUGAGUGAGUUAGUGAAGAAGUUCACUGAGAGAAAGGUGAGAAAGGAGGAGAUGAAAUGUGAGCUAAGCGUGAAAAUCUUUGGAAAUGAAGUUAGCUUUUUGGAUUGUGAAGAUUUAAGAAAGCAAAUGAAACAUUAUUCUUUAAAUCUGGCUGAGCUUGCUGUCAAACUUCUGAAGGGGCAAGAGAUCCAGCUUAAUAAAAGGCUUAGUUUGGCCACGGAAGAAUUGCAGUUUCCAGUAAUUUCAGGCUUUCCUGUUCAACUGGCAAUCAAUGCCUCAGCAGCAAUCAAUGUUAAAAUGAAAGGCAAUGCAGAGUUCAAAGAACAGUCAAAUUUCUUUGUAAAUGGCUAUAUCAAGCCAAGGUAA